rnacentral:rRNA from 1 species
CCUACGGGGGGCUGCAGUGGGGAAUAUUGGACAAUGGGCGAAAGCCUGAUCCAGCCAUGCCGCGUGUGUGAAGAAGGCCUUCGGGUUGUAAAGCACUUUCAGUGGGGAAGAAAGCCUCGGGGCUAAUACCCUCGAGGAAGGACAUCACCCACAGAAGAAGCACCGGCUAACUCCGUGCCAGCAGCCGCGGUAAUACGGAGGGUGCGAGCGUUAAUCGGAAUUACUGGGCGUAAAGCGCGCGUAGGCGGUCUGAUAAGCCGGUUGUGAAAGCCCCGGGCUCAACCUGGGAACGGCAUCCGGAACUGUCAGGCUAGAGUGCAGGAGAGGAAGGUAGAAUUCCCGGUGUAGCGGUGAAAUGCGUAGAGAUCGGGAGGAAUACCAGUGGCGAAGGCGGCCUUCUGGACUGACACUGACGCUGAGGUGCGAAAGCGUGGGUAGCAAACAGGAUUAGAUACCCUAGUAGUC